CGCUGGCGGCGUGCCUAAUACAUGCAAGUAGAACGCUGAAGAGAGGAGCUUGCUCUUCUUGGAUGGGUUGCGAACGGGUGAGUAACGCGUAGGUAACCUGCCUUGUAGCGGGGGAUAACUAUUGGAAACGAUAGCUAAUACCGCAUAACAAUGGAUGACACAUGUCAUUUAUUUGAAAGGGGCAAAUGCUCCACUACAAGAUGGACCUGCGUUGUAUUAGCUAGUAGGUGAGGUAACGGCUCACCUAGGCGACGAUACAUAGCCGACCUGAGAGGGUGAUCGGCCACACUGGGACUGAGACACGGCCCAGACUCCUACGGGAGGCAGCAGUAGGGAAUCUUCGGCAAUGGGGGCAACCCUGACCGAGCAACGCCGCGUGAGUGAAGAAGGUUUUCGGAUCGUAAAGCUCUGUUGUAAGUCAAGAACGAGUGUGAGAGUGGAAAGUUCACACUGUGACGGUAGCUUACCAGAAAGGGACGGCUAACUACGUGCCAGCAGCCGCGGUAAUACGUAGGUCCCGAGCGUUGUCCGGAUUUAUUGGGCGUAAAGCGAGCGCAGGCGGUUUGAUAAGUCUGAAGUUAAAGGCUGUGGCUCAACCAUAGUUCGCUUUGGAAACUGUCAAACUUGAGUGCAGAAGGGGAGAGUGGAAUUCCAUGUGUAGCGGUGAAAUGCGUAGAUAUAUGGAGGAACACCGGUGGCGAAAGCGGCUCUCUGGUCUGUAACUGACGCUGAGGCUCGAAAGCGUGGGGAGCGAACAGGAUUAGAUACCCUGGUAGUCCACGCCGUAAACGAUGAGUGCUAGGUGUUGGAUCCUUUCCGGGAUUCAGUGCCGCAGCUAACGCAUUAAGCACUCCGCCUGGGGAGUACGACCGCAAGGUUGAAACUCAAAGGAAUUGACGGGGGCCCGCACAAGCGGUGGAGCAUGUGGUUUAAUUCGAAGCAACGCGAAGAACCUUACCAGGUCUUGACAUCCCGAUGCUAUUUCUAGAGAUAGAAAGUUACUUCGGUACAUCGGUGACAGGUGGUGCAUGGUUGUCGUCAGCUCGUGUCGUGAGAUGUUGGGUUAAGUCCCGCAACGAGCGCAACCCCUAUUGUUAGUUGCCAUCAUUCAGUUGGGCACUCUAGCGAGACUGCCGGUAAUAAACCGGAGGAAGGUGGGGAUGACGUCAAAUCAUCAUGCCCCUUAUGACCUGGGCUACACACGUGCUACAAUGGUUGGUACAACGAGUUGCGAGUCGGUGACGGCAAGCUAAUCUCUUAAAGCCAAUCUCAGUUCGGAUUGUAGGCUGCAACUCGCCUACAUGAAGUCGGAAUCGCUAGUAAUCGCGGAUCAGCACGCCGCGGUGAAUACGUUCCCGGGCCUUGUACACACCGCCCGUCACACCACGAGAGUUUGUAACACCCGAAGUCGGUGAGGUAACCUUUUGGAGCCAGCCGCCUAAGGUGGGAUAGAUGAUUGGG
rnacentral:rRNA from 1 species